CAAUAGCGUAUAUUAAAGUUGUUGCAGUUAGAACGCUCGUAGUCGGAUUUCGGGGCGGGCCGACCGGUCUGCCGAUGGGUAUGCACUGGUCGGCGCGUCCUUCCUUCCGGAGACCGUCCCUACUCUUAACUGAGCGGGGGCGGGAGACGGGACUUUUACUUUGAAAAAAUCAGAGUGUUUCAAGCAGGCAGCUCGCUCUUGCAUGGAUUAGCAUGGGAUAAUGAAAUAGGACUUUGGUGCUAUUUUGUUGGUUUCGAACACCGAAGUAAUGAUGAGAAGGGACAGUCAGGGGCACUCGUAUUCCGCAGAGAGAGGUGAAAUUCUCAGACCCGCGGAAGACGAACCACUGCGAAAGCAUUUGCCAGGGAUGUUUUCACUGA
rnacentral:rRNA from 1 species